UUGAUAUUGUUUGUACAGCAUUUAUGUGUUUUUAGUAAGUAGCAACGCGAAUAUCAACUAAAGUUUUCAAAAAGCGGAAACAAUAUUAGAAGAAAAGUAGUUACAAAUUACUUUACCCUCGCAAAAUGUAAAUAUAGGCUUAUUUAUCCAUCAAAAAGUGACGUAACCUCAAAACCUGAAGCUGCUGUGGGCCUACCUUUGGUUGCAACAUCUAACACUAUCCUCUGAAGUAGUUUCUGUGACUGCCUAUAUUCCUUAAUCAGACCCAAUACUAGAGAAGACACUGGCCGUCACACGGAGAGUUCAGACGCUACCCUGGUGGAAUGUGAUUGCAGAACCAGCCUACUCAUCCUUAGACCUAGAUGUAAUCUCCACCUUCUUGCAUUUUCGGUUUGAAACCAUAUCGGGACCUAAUGGAUUAAUUCCUAAAAGCAACCUUGAUCAGGUCAAUAGUGUACAGAACACGGACAGAGGUCACAAUAGUUGAAACUAGGAGGAGAAAUCUUUCGCCAAUAAUACGGAGCAAUUCAGUUACUAUCCCAGUAGUUGUGCGAAAGUUGCUUCGUUUUAUCUUGUUUCAAGGGACACGGUUUGGACUUAUUAGUGAAAAUAUAGUUAUAUAAAGUAGUAGUUACACUUUAUUUUAUUUUAUACAAAAUGUAUUCAAAUAAAAUAUAUUUUCACUGCGUUA